AUUCCUAAACACAUUAUUAUGAAGUUGUCCCUCUGUUGCGCAGCUAAUGUCGAGAGUGGCAAUAUUAUUUGUAACAGACAUGCUUAACUGCACAAUGAGUUUGUAAAUUAUUUGAGAAUUUGUAGUAAGAGCCUGUGAUACAUUUCACGACAACGCGGGAGCUGAGGGUAGGAUGGAGGCGACAAAAAUAAAGUCAGAUGGAAGAAGAGUUGGUGCCGCAGUAUAUAUAUAAACAAAGCUGACAACAUCACUGAGCAGGGAUGCUGGCGUUUGCAGCUAGCAAAUUGUUUUCAGUCAACACCAGUGCAUGGAAUCAGCACGAUGCAGGCCAUAAGAUCGGGUGACAAGAGGUCGCUAAGGACUGGCGGAACCGUCAGAACCUGUAAAUUCCAGUCAGAGAAACCGCUCACAUUAUUCGUGUCAGGCUAGAAUUUGCUCGUAUAUAACCCCCGUUGAAAACCGAACCCUCUUCUAAGUUGAAUAUGAAACAUGGUCGAGGGGUGUUCGUGUUUGGGAGUGGGGGGGGGGGAGCAGGAGAGAGACUCAGCAUUCUUUCUCUCCCCUCUCCCUCUUUUGCGGAAAAGGAAAACAAAGACUGCCUCUCAACAGAUGGCACAUAUAGGCCUUUAUCUACUGCGUUAUCCGCGCCCUACUACUUGCCUCACCCACCCACACCCACAAGACAGCCACCCACCCAGCUCCCACUCUUCCCUCGCUGCCUCUCCUCGCCAGCUCACGUGCUCACGUGCCAUAGAUGCGCCGGGAGGGUGGAGUCCGGCGGGAUGUCGUGCCAGUGCACUACGGCAGCAGCACCGAUGUAGCAGCAGUAGCAGCAGUGCCCGCGGAGGAAGAGGACUAGUGCAAACAGCGGAGCAGUGCAGUCACAAAGACAACUGCUGCACUGACUGGGGCUGUGGUUAUGCCGCUUUUUUGUAAGUUUCCUCCCUUUGCGACUCAUCCUCCCUGGUUUGAUUGAAACCACAAACCAGGCCAUGCUGCUGAAGCUACUAUCGCUGUUGCAAUGAUGAUGAUGAUGAAUAAUGAACAGGACGAAGACAAUGGUACGACAAUGGAUUUCUGAAAUUCUGAGAAGUUGCUGAACGUUGUUGUUGCUUAUGUUUCGUUUGUAUUUGAUAAACUUUGAUAAACCGCUCAUCCGUGUCGAGUGGUUUACCAACUCGUCCUCUCUCUCUUCUUUUCUCUCUGCUUCAUUUAACACAGAUAAGCAUUAAAAUGUCAUUCAACAUAUACAAAAACUUCUCAAAAUGUUAACUGCUCACGAAAGACCCGGAAAAAUAACCCCGAGUCUCCUCCCUGCAAAAAAGUCAUGGGGGUGGGGCUUUAAUGGCCACAGCAAAAAGAAUGGGGAAAAGAUGAAAAAACAGGGUAAGUUUUGGCUAGUGUGGAAGGGUGCCGGUGCGAAAAGAAAGUGUGGCAGCAGUCUGUCAAUGGUUACAAGACAGCCACAGAACACAGCAGCAGAUUGGACACCACAUCAGGCCGCUGUUUGCCUUGCAGUGCUGAUGUCCUUCGAGCGUUGAUGGACUUGGCGACAUGUACACACAAAGAGACACAUAGAGUGCGAAUAUACAUAACACCAGUCUAUCAAAGAAGGACAACAUCGGUUUGACGCUGACUUCUGAAUGAUGUAAUGGCAAUCAUCUGUGACGAGACGAUAAAGAAAACAAUUUAGUUCUUUUUGUUUUUUUCCAUUAUGUCUUAUUAAUGCCAUUGCUUUUUUCACACCUCUUUGUCUUGUCAUCAGCACGAGCAGCCAUUUUGGAACUAUUUUUAAAGUCCCAUCUUCCGACAAGCUCGAAGAGGCAUGUCGAGAGAAAGGGAGGGAGGGAGGGGAGGUGUUGGAGGCGUUUGAGCGAAUGGCCACAAAAAAUUAUUUACGCAUCUGGCAAUCUACCAUUGCGCAUCGCACCCGGUGCAUGCAGAUUACACGCGCGGACUACACGGAGAGGGAAAUUCCCGUGGGCAGAAAUAACAGUGGUUUGCGCAAGAUCACGCGGAAUGCCGCGAGGUCUCGCGAUAAACGCCGCCAUCAUGGCGACGACGGAGCCGGCCUGCAGCCUGAAGCCGCCAACACAUCCGCCUAGCAGGACUAGAUUCCAGCUCAGUGCACGUGCUCUCAACAAUCUUUUCCCAGGCAACACCCUUUAUGUCCACAAUUUAGUCCUUCGCGCCAAACGGAUGUAUGCGAAAGAAUCCUCCAUAAAACAUCAGCAUUAAAACGAAAAGAUAUACAACCUUGCUAGCUUCACUCCUUCCAAUAUGUCGUAUUGACACUGUUAUUGCAGUGAUCACACUUUAUUACCAAAACACAGAUGGUCGGCCUUCGCGUUAGUUUUUUUAGUCUUUAUAUCGUUGUGAUUGUUCCGAGGAUACUGGUCAGCUCAACGAGUUUGCGUGCGUCAACAGAAAGACAGAAAAGAGAGGAAAGGAGGAGAGAAAAAAGGGAAGAAAGGAAAAAUGGGAAAGCCCGAGUAAUGGAGGCCAACGGCAAUCUGAACACACACACACCAUCAAGAAAAAUCCGUCAUGAACACCAGUCCGUGCAGACAGGGCAGCAUCUGUGAAAGACCACCUAACAGAAGGCCGCCUUCCAAUGACCCGAAGGUGCUAUCAAUCUACAGUCCAGGGAGGGGCCACCUCAUGCCGGCGUUAUCAAAGGAUUUGUGACUCCGCGCGCCCCGAGCUUAUAACAACAAAGAUCUGUUUAAUCCCGACUGAGGUGAAGUCAUCCAGGUAGCGACAUAUGGCCAGGAACUGCACUGCAUGUGUGUGUCUAUGCAUGCGUGUGCGUGCGCUCGUGCGGGAGUGAGUGCGCGUGGGUGUUUUAGGUAAAGAGAGAGUAGCUAAGGUGUAUGGUUGUUUACAGAAUGAAAUUAACCUUUUCGCCUCCUCAGCACACACGCACACACUUCUCUGAACAUUUUGAAAAAUGUACGUUGGAACAGAUGUGCAAAACACGAUCAGACUCCAACAGGCACGGUGAUGGUGGGGUGGCAGGGGCAGGGGUAAGCACUGAAGGUCAGCGGGGUAGAGGGGAGAAGUUGACCUCGGGUGUACCCCACAUUCCAUCGCCGAUCGCAUCAUCAACAGCUGUGUAGGUAAGGAUUCCCAUUUGUGUAAUCUGUAGAGAGAAGCCCACGAUCUUUGGCCAUAGCAGGCAGUUGCGCCAUCGUUCGUCGGGUGGGUCUUCAGGUCAAAGGUCUCAAAUCUACAGUGACAAUGCAAGCCGGGGCGAAGGGAAAUAAUCUGAAACACUUAUUUACCUGAAGCGCUAACUUAAAAAAAAGACACACUGAUGAGAAGGAAAGGGAACUGAUGAAGGUAUGAAGGAUGGAUUCGUUCUAGGGGAGCGGUCCUACUAUAACACACACUCUCUCUUUCUCACACCCAGAUAUGGGAGUGGCUGGUACGCGAAUGAUGGACUGUUACAUCCAGCGUUACCUCUCCUGCUCGGACGAGGGUUGAAGUUUGAAACUGUACAGAACUAAUUCGUUCUACCCCUAUUAACCACGUGAGAUAAUUAGCAUGUAGGCCGUGUGAACACGCGUGGCGACCAUGACACGAACCUUCCCACAGUUUUUAUCUGAGGAUGGGGGGAAGGGGAAAUAAAGAAGUGUUUUGUUGAAUGGGCUGAACGGAGACUGUUGGUGAAUUAUUAAUAUCUAAACCAAAAAAUCGUAUAAACAGCCGUUGUCUCGUGUACACAGAAGUGUAUGGUGCACGCCGUGUUGUCAAAUAUCUGCGACGGAGUGACAGAUUACAAGUGGAGGAGACUGAGGAGUAGUGGGGGUGGAAUGAGAAACAAGAUAAGGUGGGUUGAGAGGAGGAGAGAAAGCGAGACAGGGAGAGGCAGGACAUCUGGAGACAGCACACGUAUUUGAGGAACGUAGCGAUGAAAGUGGUGAAAGAGGAGGAGUGUGAGGGUCGACUGUGGUGGGGAACAUGCCGAGAUGGCGCCAGGCUAGCAAUUCUCAAACGUGCAGCGAGACGAGAGCAUGCAUGCGCGCGCGUUCUGUGGGGAGGGAAGAGAGUGAGUUCUGUGAGAGGCGUGCCGUUAACAGACACCUGACUCUUCAUACGCAGUUUACUUCCUCGCAGAAGGAAUUACCACUUGCUCUGCCUUCGCCACCUUUGCGCCCCUCGAUAACAGGAUGCGUAGAAGAUGAAGCGCACAGGUGUACAGAUGACAUCAAAAAUAAAGCGAUUUGCUUGUGUUUCUUCUUUUCUCUCUCUCUCGCACACGCGAAUGAGCGCGUGAAGAUAGGAAGGUAAGAAGCAGCUUUCCUCCCAAGCGUUAGCGAUGAUGUCAUGAUACGUACUAUAGAAUGCGGCAUUUACAUAUUGCUCGCCGCAUUAUCACUCAGUCCUAUUUUGUCUUUUGCAAGAAUCGUGGUUAAAAACCAAAAUACACUAAGAGGCUUGUUCGCAAAAUGUUUUCGAGUCUUAUUUUUCUUUCUUUUACUUUUCCUUUAUGUGCUCCCAAGGAAGAAACGUUCGUUUGCGAAGGUGGAGACACCUGACGUCACGUGCGUCAACGAAAGACAAGGAGGAUCAGGUGGAGGAGAUGAUCAGGGCGAUGAUCAGCCAUAACAGAAGUAUCAAGGAGUAACAACAGCUGCUACAAAGACACCAAGGGCACGCACGCAAGGAAAAUAUGAAUGAAGUGCAUGGUAGAGCAGGGAACAGGAGACGGUUGAGGCUUGAAGAUGUGGGAUCUCAACAACAGCCUCUGACGCGUCGCCAGCGAUAACACAAGACAUUAUCGUCAACAGACACAGAUUAUCUCCCAUCAGCUGGAAACCUAACAUGGAGUCCGCGAAAGUCACAGCGCCGUAGGGCUCGUGCAUGGGGCACACAGACUCUUAGAACGUGAAAUUCUUUUCCGUUCUUUAAAACUCGUUUAAACUAAAGCACACGCACACACACGGACACAAUACACAGAGGGAAAGACAGAAUUCUCGCAGUGCCCAGAAACAUGGCAGUGCGCUGAAUAAAGCUCGCUUUCUAUUUUGCAAUGUCA